rnacentral:rRNA from 1 species
UACGUAGGGUGCAAGCGUUGUCCGGAAUUAUUGGGCGUAAAGAGCUCGUAGGCGGUCUGUCGCGUCUGCUGUGAAAACUCGGGGCUUAACCCCGGGCCUGCAGUGGGUACGGGCAGACUAGAGUGCGGUAGGGGAGACUGGAAUUCCUGGUGUAGCGGUGAAAUGCGCAGAUAUCAGGAGGAACACCAGCGGCGAAGGCGGCGCUCUGGGCUGGAACUGACGCUGAGGAGCGAAAGCGUGGGGAGCGAACAGG